rnacentral:rRNA from 1 species
AUUGAACGCUGGCGGCACGCCUAACACAUGCAAGUCGAGCGGCAGCGAGAUUAGUAGCAAUACUAAUUGUCGGCGAGCGGCGGACGGGUGAGGAACACGUAGGGACCUGCCUAAGAGAGGGGGAUAACUAAUGGAAACGUUAGCUAAUACCGCAUAGUCUCGAGAGAGCAAAGCUGCAGCAAUGUAGCGCUUUUAGAGGGGCCUGCGUCCGAUUAGUUAGUUGGUGAGGUAAAAGCUCACCAAGACGAUGAUCGGUAACUGGUCUGAGAGGACGACCAGUCACACUGGGACUGAGACACGGCCCAGACUCCUACGGGAGGCAGCAGUGGGGAAUCUUGGACAAUGGGGGAAACCCUGAUCCAGCGAUGCCGCGUGAGUGAAGAAGGCCUUCGGGUCGUAAAGCUCUUUAGGCUGGGAGGAAGGAUAUUCGAGGAAAUGCGAGUAUUUUGACUGUACCAGCAGAAUAAGCACCGGCAAACUCUGUGCCAGCAGCCGCCGUAA